rnacentral:rRNA from 1 species
UACGGGGGGGGCAAGCGUUGUCCGGAAUUAUUGGGCGUAAAGAGCUUGUAGGCGGUCUGUCGCGUCUGCUGUGAAAAUCCGGGGCUCAACCCCGGACUUGCAGUGGGUACGGGCAGACUAGAGUGUGGUAGGGGAGACUGGAGUUCCUGGUGUAGCGGUGAAAUGCGCAGAUAUCAGGAGGAACACCGAUGGCGAAGGCGACUUCCUGGCCUGUUCUUGACGCUGAGGCGCGAAAGCUAGGGGAGCAAACGGG